rnacentral:rRNA from 1 species
GACGAACGCUGGCGGCGUGCCUAAUACAUGCAAGUCGAACGCAGUGGGGACGGGUGAGUAACAAGUGGGUAACCUCCCAUCAGAGGGGAUAACACUUGGAAACAGGUGCUAAACCGAUACUGAUGGAUGGACCCGCGGUGCAUUAGCUAGUUGGUGAGGUAACGGAUCACCAAGGCCACGAUGCAUAGCCGACCUGCGAGGGUGAUCGGCCACGCUGGGACUGAGAGACGGCCCAGACUCCUACGGGAGGCAGCCGUAGGGAAUCUUCGGCAAUGGACGAAAGUCUGACCUAGCAACGCCGCGUGAGUGAAGAAGGUUUUCGGAUCGUAAAACUCUUUUGGUAGAGAAGCGGUAUCUAACCAGAAAGCCACGGCUAACUACGUGCCAGCAGCCGCGGUAAUUC